rnacentral:piRNA from 1 species
UGGUCAGGCUGACAUCGAACCCAGAGAUCUUU